rnacentral:lncRNA from 1 species
CCUAAAUGAAGUAAGUUUUGAUUAGAAGUUACCACUGAAUCUCCCUUAAAGAGAGUUGUGACUGGGACUCCGUUUGUUCCCUAGGGGAGACAAUAAAAAGGUCAACACAGCUCCCACCUCGAAGCAGCUGCCAGUUUAUUACAUGAAGUGUCAGGCUGUGGACUGCAGGCAUGCCAUUUUGUCUUCAAGAACAGAAUUCCCGGGCACACGAAUGAUUCCAGGGUUCCUCCAGCACUUUGGUAUUACUUGAAAGCAAUCUUAAGGGAUCUAGAAUGAACCAACGCCCAAAAAGGAUCCCUUAGCAGCGGUGAUAUCAAAGAAACACUUUUGAAGAACUAAUUUUCCACCCAGAUUUCCCCAAUUUUAAAAGCAAUGGGCAAAGCCUUCUCCACUCCUAAACUUCCUGGAACUGUCUUUUGGCUAUAUCAGGCCCCUGAAGUUAGAGUCUUUGAAAGACUCCAAACUCCAAAUUCUAUGCUUUUAUUCUCAGGCUCCUCAUAAUUCUACAGCACACCAGACUGCUGACCACUCUCCGUACCACUUUUAAAUUAUUUCUUCCCACAGCUUUCUUAACAAUGAACCUUUGAAAUCUUUUUAGUUUUCCAUUUAUUUUGCUACCUUUCCUCUGUCCUAGCUCUAAAAUGAAGAUCCUCUAAGGUUCUACAGUUUACUUCUUGUAUUCUCCUUUGUAAGUCAUCUCCAAGACGAUGUCCAAAUCCAUCACCAUUAAAAUUAAUAGUUUCCUCACCCACAACACUUAAUAUUUUAAAAAAAAUACUUUUCAUU